rnacentral:rRNA from 1 species
UGGGGAAUAUUGCGCAAUGGGCGCAAGCCUGAUGCAGCCAUGCCGCGUGUGUGAAGAAGGCCUUCGGGUUGUAAAGCACUUUCAGCGAGGAGGAAGGUGGUGAGCUUAAUACGCUCAUCAAUUGACGUUACUCGCAGAAGAAGCACCGGCUAACUCCGUGCCAGCAGCCGCGGUAAUACGGAGGGUGCAAGCGUUAAUCGGAAUUACUGGGCGUAAAGCGCACGCAGGCGGUUUGUUAAGUCAGAUGUGAAAUCCCCGGGCUCAACCUGGGAACUGCAUUUGAAACUGGCAAGCUAGAGUCUCGUAGAGGGGGGUAGAAUUCCAGGUGUAGCGGUGAAAUGCGUAGAGAUCUGGAGGAAUACCGGUGGCGAAGGCGGCCCCCUGGACGAAGACUGACGCUCAGGUGCGAAAGCGUGGGGCAGCAAACAGGAUUAGAUACCCUGGUAGUCCACGCUGUAAACGAUGUCGAUUUGGAGGUUGUGCCCAUGAGGCGUGGCUUCCGGAGCUAACGCGUUAAAUCGACCGCCUGGGGGGUACGGCCGCAAGGUUAAAACUCAAAUGAAUUGACGGGGUC